rnacentral:rRNA from 1 species
GACGAACGCUGGCGGCGUGCCUAAUACAUGCAAGUAGAACGCUGAAGGAGGAGCUUGCUUCUCUGGAUGAGUUGCGAACGGGUGAGUAACGCGUAGGUAACCUGCCUGGUAGCGGGGGAUAACUAUUGGAAACGAUAGCUAAUACCGCAUAAGAGUAGAUGUUGCAUGACAUUUGCUUAAAAGGUGCAAUUGCAUCGCUACCAGAUGGACCUGCGGUGUAUUAGCUAGUUGGUGGGGUAACGGCUCACCAAGGCGACGAUACAUAGCCGACCUGAGAGGGUGAGCGGCCACAUUGGGACUGAGAUACGGACCAGGCUGCUACGGGAGGAAGCAGUGGGGAAUAUUGCAGAAUGGGCGGAAGCCUGAUGCAGAGACGCCGCGGGCGGGAUGACCGCCUUGGGGUUGUAAACCGCUGGCGCCUGUGACGAAGCGUGAGUGACGGUAAUGGGUAAAGAAGCACCGGCUAACUACGUG